rnacentral:lncRNA from 1 species
CUCCAUCGCCUCCUUCAGGAGGCCAUGGAGGUGGUGGUUACUAUCCCUCCCCUCCAUCUCAUGGUGGAAGCCCUCCAAGUACUCCUAGUACCCCCAGUACACCAUCCACCCCCUCCACACCUACUAUUGUAACCCCACCUACACCUCCUACAAUAGACCCUGGCACUCCAAGUACUCCAGGGGGUGGUUACUAUGGUGGAAGUCCUCCAAGUAUUCCUACCCCUAGUAUUACACCCCCUACCCCUUCUACACCUAUCAUUGAAACACCACCAACUACUCC